AUAUGUAUAUAUGUAUGUUUAUAAGUAUGUAUAUGUAUAUACUGUAUGUAUAUAUGUAUAUGUGUAUGUAUAUGUAUAUAUUUGUAUAUAUGUAUGUAUAUGUUUAUGUAUUUUUUCCCACAAGCCAUCAGACUGCUCAACUCAUUUAUGAAAACUGGAUUACAAAUUCCCUCACAACCCCCACACUCAAAGACCUGUGGAACUGUGAAAAAGACAGUGAAGUCGUUUUCCAUGGAUUCCCCAAACUCCUCCCAUGUCCAAGUAUUUGCCUGCGCGACCGCUGAAGCCACACAACACUUGGUCUGUUGGUACCUGUCCGCUGCCUCUGGAGUCCCAAAAGGACCCGAUAGGACUCUUUCUUCAGCUUGACAGCCUCCCUCACUGCUGCACCAGCGGGUAUUAGGAUUAGGACAGGCACCAACUACCUUGCGGUCACAGCUCCAGUCGCCUCAACGAUAGAGGCCUGAUUGGUGGUUGGCUGCAGAGAUGGUUGUCCUCUCGCCACAGAGGAAUGCCGUAGCCCUGACAGAGUGACCAUCGGGUUCUUGGUCAACUCCCUAACUAGACUAAGAUGAAUGCAGCAAUGUACAAAGACAUCCUGGAUGAAAACCAACUCUUCCCACCCAAUCUGAUGGAAAUUGAGAGGUGCUGCAAAGAGGAAUGGGCAAAACUGCCCAAAGAUAGGUGUGCUAAGCUUGUGGCAUUGUCUACAAAAACCUUGAGGCUGUAAUUCCUGUCAAAUGUGCAUCAACAAAGUGUUGAACCAAGGUUCUGAAUACUUAUGUACAUGUGGUUUUUAAGUUUUUUUAUUCUUAAUAAAUUUGCCAAAAAAUCUGCAUUUCUGUUUUUAAUGUCAAGAUAAGGUGCUGAGUGAGAAAUAAAAUGGACUUUUGGGAUUUGAGCAAAUGGCUGCAAUUAAACAAAGAGUGAAACAUUUAAAGCGGUCUGAAUACUCCCUGUAUCCAACGUAUAUUUGAUUACAUAUAUGAUGCAUAAUGUAAAAGGUCGGUUUUCGAAAAAUGUAUUCCAUAAUUUCAUAGCAUUUUCAACGGCGUGUGAUGGAUCUGUGUGGUCUUUUCAAGAUUAUAACAAAACAACUGCAUGAGCAAACAUAAUUGACUUGUAAUUGACCUAAAAAAAACAGAUGUUAAUAAAAGACUGAAACGUUACAUGAUGUU